rnacentral:tRNA from 1 species
GGGCUCAUAGCUCAGCUGGAUAGAGCAACGGAUUUCUAAUCCGUAGGUCGUAGGUUCGAGCCCUACUGGGCCUA